AAAAGUUAAUGAUUACGCGCAGACUUGCAGACAUCCGAGAGUCUAGACCGAAGACGCUGGGAGAAAUCUUUGCACGUUCACUCUCCGGCCUUCCGCGCGAGUAGAACCUUAACGUCACUUCCACGCCAGCCUCAAGCCUUGCGCCGAUCUGCCCCUUUGGGUCACCCGCACCGUCCUGCAUUAGAAGGUCACUCUGAUAACUUCCUUAUUCACCCAGGAUGUGUUUAUUGAGCACCUGCUGUGCGCCAGGCAUGCUGUCCUGGAGCUGCCCUCUGGCGGGAAGGUUAGGGGCCCGGGCGGCAAGCAGGCAAGUGUGCAAAAGAGCCUCUCAGGGCUGUGACAGGGACAGAGGGGCUCGGGAAGGCGCCUCCGAGGAGAGGACAUCUGAGCUGAGACCUGGAAGACAUGGGAGCAGCCAGGAGAACCGGACAGAAAGUACUCAUGCUGGAAGGAGAAGCCAGGGCCAGAGGCCAGUUGCUGGACCGUUUGUAUCGUUUGGAUUGCCUGCUACCUCCUUUGCCCACUCGUUCUCCUGGAGUCUGAGGGUCACAUACGUAAAGCAUAUUAGAGUAUCAACACUCCCCGUGCUUCCAUAAAAAUCACCAAAUAUUAGUUGGGCACCGCUUUAGACAAGCUGCUGUGUUGGAUGGAGGUCUGCCUGAAGAGACUCUUUGUCCACAACUAUGGAUAAGAUGGCCAUCCAGGGCCUGGACUCCUAGCGUAUGGUCUUCUUUAAGGUCUGCCAUUUUCUCGGACGAGUUCACCGUUUAUCACCCUGGGACGGAGGUUUCCUUGGUUGGUUCUUUCAUCCAUU